UACGUAGGGUGCGAGCGUUGUCCGGAAUUACUGGGCGUAAAAGAGCUCGUAGGUGGUUUGUCGCGUUGUUCGUGAAAACCGGGGGCUUAACCUUCGGCGUGCGGGCGAUACGGGCAGACUGGAGUACUGCAGGGGAGACUGGAAUUCCAGGUGUAGCGGUGAAAUGCGUAGAUAUCUGGAGGAACACCGGUGGCGAAGGCGG
rnacentral:rRNA from 1 species